UAGUGCUGGAAACUGAGGCUACGUUUACACGAAGCAGGGUAUUUUCCUAAACGAAUAUCUGGCCAUCUACGUUUGCAAAUAAAACUGCAUUUACACGAGACCGUUU